rnacentral:rRNA from 1 species
GACAGAGGUGCCAAGCGUUAGGCGGAAUCACUGGGCUUAAAGCGUGUGUAGGCGGACUGGUAAGUACCUUGUGAAAUCCCACGGCUCAACCGUGGAACUGCUCGGUAUACUGCUUGUCUUGGGCCAACUAGGGGCAGCCGGAACAAGCGGUGGAGCGGUGAAAUGCGUAGAUAUCGCUUGGAACGCCGAAGGUGAAAACAGGCUGCUGGGGUUGCGCCGACGCUGAGACACGAAAGCCAGGGGAGCAAACGGG